ensembl:rRNA 5S_rRNA 5S ribosomal RNA
GCUUACGGCCAUACCACCCUGAGCACGCCCGAUCUCGUCUGAUCUCGGAAGCUAAGCAUUUUUUUUUUUUUUUUACCUCUGAUUUCUCGGAUGGGAGCCCGCCUGGGAAUACCAGGUGCUGUAAGCU